GAUGAACGCUGGCGGCGUGCUUAACACAUGCAAGUCGAACGGUGAAGGCGGAGCUUGCUCUGCUGGAUCAGUGGCGAACGGGUGAGUAACACGUGAGCAAUCUGCCCCUGACUCUGGGAUAAGCGCUGGAAACGGCGUCUAAUACUGGAUACGAGCUGCGAAGGCAUCUUCAGCAGCUGGAAAGAAUUUCGGUCAGGGAUGAGCUCGCGGCCUAUCAGCUUGUUGGUGAGGUAAUGGCUCACCAAGGCGUCGACGGGUAGCCGGCCUGAGAGGGUGACCGGCCACACUGGGACUGAGACACGGCCCAGACUCCUACGGGAGGCAGCAGUGGGGAAUAUUGCACAAUGGGUGAAAGCCUGAUGCAGCAACGCCGCGUGAGGGACGACGGCCUUCGGGUUGUAAACCUCUUUUAGCAGGGAAGAAGCGAAAGUGACGGUACCUGCAGAAAAAGCGCCGGCUAACUACGU
rnacentral:rRNA from 1 species